AAAGAAGCCGCCACGCACCAUUUCAUCCUCUUCUCCACUCCACAGGUUAAGUUUUGUAGUAGUGGUAAUAUUCAGUUGAAACGAGAGUUUCACAUGUUAGAUGUCCAGCUAGCCGCGCUCAAUAUAUUAGGCACUGUAAAUUUGGGUUUGGAUACAGCAACCAGAGUACCUCUGAUUCUUUGUAAGUUGAUUCUAC